UACGAAGGGGGCUAGCGUUGCUCGGAAUUACUGGGCGUAAAACGCACGUAGGCGGCUUCUUAAGUCGGUGGUGAAAUCCUGGAGCUCAACUCCAGAACUGCCUUCGAUACUGGGAAGCUCGAGUCCGGGAGAGGUGAGUGGAACUGCGAGUGUAGAGGUGAAAUUCGUAGAUAUUCGCAAGAACACCAGUGGCGAAGGCGGCUCACUGGCCCGGUACUGACGCUGAGGUGCGAAAGCGUGGGGAGCAAACAGG
rnacentral:rRNA from 1 species